rnacentral:lncRNA from 1 species
GGCCUUAUUUGUAGAUUGCACACUCUUUCUUUAUAUUCUUUGCGAGUCGAGGACUUGAAGAAGUUUAAUGAUAAAGUAGACGACCUUACAGCCAUAGGUGUUGACAUGUCUCCGUUUCGUGAUAGAUUGACUCUUCUCAAGUCAAAUUUUGAUCUUGUUUCAUUACGUUCAGAGGUUGCUGUACGUAAGUGUGAAGAUGAAUCCUUUUCAGUGCAGCUUUCUGAGCUUGAUGAAGCCGCCAACAAAUUGAAGAUUCAGUCUCAAGAUUUAGAGGGCCGACUUCGGGAGGUAGGGCGCCAGCGACGGGACUUAGAGUCAACUACCCAACAAGUUAGGGAACUGAAAGCUGCAAAUCUUAAGAUUCGAGAUGCUGCCGUUGCUGAUUUAGAAGCUUUAGUUGUGCCUCCACUUCAUUUUGAUAUGUCUUGGCCUUUAGAUCAUAACUUGUUGUAGUAG